GUGAAUCAUCGAAUCUUUGAACGCACAUUGCGCCCGCCAGUAUUCUGGCGGGCAUGCCUGUCCGAGCGUCAUUUCAACCCUCGAACCCCUCCGGGGGGUCGGCGUUGGGGACUUCGGGAACCCCUAAGACGGGAUCCCGGCCCCGAAAUACAGUGGCGGUCUCGCCGCAGCCUCUCAUGCGCAGUAGUUUGCACAACUCGCACCGGGAGCGCGGCGCGUCCACGUCCGUAAAACACCCAACUUCUGAAAUGUUGACCUCGGAUCAGGUAGGAAUACCCGCUGAACUUAAGCAUAUCAAUAAGCGGAGGA
rnacentral:misc_RNA from 1 species